GGAGAGGACGGCAGCCUAGAUUCACAGGGAUUUCCUAAUGGUUUUGAUUUUCCUAAUGGUUUUGAUAUUUGUUUGGUCGCUCCUGGGUUCCUCCCCCCGAAAGCUGCAGUUGGUUUUUCCAUCGUUCUGUACAGAGGGUGGACUUGCCAGUCCAUAUAUGAAGCAUAAACUUUGGAUUCUGAUACAGAGGAUCUGCUUCCAUGGGUAGAGCCCACUCCAUAGCUGUGACAUCAAGGACCCAUCGACUCAUCUCCUCCUCCUGCUUUUCCUGACCCUCCAAGCCUGUUGCAGAAAUUGGAUCCUGGCAACAGAAGAGGACUGAAAACACUUCUGUCCCUACCGAAAAAAAAGGCCAGCAUGUUCGUGGGCAAAAAGGUCAUCCCGUUCCAGCAGGCAUGACCUUCGUCCCAUUCAUGCCUGCAGCCACAGCAUGAGAUAGGAUUCUACACUUGGUGGUAACUCAAGCCGCAUACAUGCUCUUGAAAGAAAGGUAACCAAAGGGGUAGUCCAGAGGCUCCUUGGUAGUUCUACAGGACCCGGGACAAAACAGAAGCAGGAGCUUCAUCUUCACUUCCCCUACAAAGAUGCUAGGAUUUCACCAGGUAGAGAACUUGGUUUGCUUUUGAAUCAAUCACCUUUUCCCCAAUCCCUAGACUUCAGUACCCUUUAGAUCCAAUGCAGAAGGAACUGACAUUGGAGAUUGAGAGCCCACAGUAGCCGCCUAGGGGGAGGAGAGGGGAGGUCAGGUCUGUGAUGAAGAAUCAUCACAAUCAGUUUUGACUGAUGUCCAGCUGGAGGGGGACACUGCAGCAAGAGGGGGAGGGAGCCUUUGCUCUUCGACCCUCCACUUAGUGUUUCAUGGUUGGGAGGUGCUAGAUAUCUCCUGUAAAAAAAAGUUGGCUCAGACAUUGCGUCUCAUGCAUCUGAUGGGAUGGGGUGUUUGACACAUCUAUACCAUACCUACUGAUUAUUCAUGCCAGACAGAAAUAAAAUGCUUGUGAGAUCCAUGUGUGAGAUGGUAAUUUCUGUUCAAAAUAUCUGAGGGUGGGCUGGGAAAAACCACAUUUCCUCUAUCUGCUACAGGGAACCUCUUCCCAUGCCCAAGCACAUAACUGGGUGUCAAGGAAGGGCUGAUGGAGUUAACAAAUGGUGCGAGGCCUUGGGAGUUCCUGUUCCUGACACCCUCCCUCCUGCUAUAGAUCCUUGCUCUGUGGACAACAGGAACUGGACAGAUCCAUACCAUCUGGGAAAUCCCAUCCUAUCUUCCCUAUUGCUGCCACAAGGAGAUGUUCUCCCCUAGCAAAUCCAAGCCUACACGUGCUGCAAGGGGCCAGACUGUUGUUAUAGCAUCAGUCAAUUGUACUUCUCUCAAUGGGACCUUCCACUGAGACAUCUCAAAGUACCUUGCAGACAUGAAUGACCAGAGCCUUGCAACACUUUCCCUGGGGGAAAGAAGUAUCAUCCCCAUUUCAAGAGAUGGAGCAACCUGACAUAGCAAGGGAGCUCCC